rnacentral:rRNA from 1 species
GACAGAGGGGGCAAGCGUUGCUCGGAAUCACUGGGCGUAAAGGGCGCGUAGGCGGGAUGGCAAGUCAGUCGUGAAAUCUCUCGGCUCAACCGAGAAACGUCGGCUGAUACUGCCGUUCUUGAGGGAUGCAGAGGAGACUGGAAUUCCCGGUGUAGCGGUGAAAUGUGUAGAGAUCGGGAGGAACACCGGUGGCGAAGGCGGGUCUCUGGGCAGCUCCUGACGCUGAGGCGCGAAAGCGUGGGGAGCAAACGGG